rnacentral:rRNA from 1 species
UACGUAGGGGGCAAGCGUUGUCCGGAAUUAUUGGGCGUAAAGAGCGUGUAGGCGGCCAGAUAAGUCCGCUGUGAAAUCUCGAGGCUCAACUCCGAGCCUGCGUUCGAUACUGGAUGGCUAGAGUCUGGUAGGGGGAUCUGGAAUUCCUGGUGUAGCGGUGGAAUGCGCAGAUAUCAGGAGGAACACCGGGUGGCGAAGGCGGGAUCCUGGGCCAGUACUGACGCUGAGGAGCGAAAGCGUGGGGAGCAA